AUCCAGCUGAAAGGUCCCAAAUAUAACGAAACGCGCGUCCUGGAU
rnacentral:hammerhead_ribozyme from 1 species